GCGAACCCCAGGUCGUGGAAGCAGAACAUGCGAACUUAACCACUGCACCACCAGGCUGGCCCCUAGAUUUCUAAAACUCCAAACACUUCCCAAUUUUUAUGUUAACUCCUCCCCACGUCCACAUUUGUAAAAGAUAAAAAUAGGGGAUUAACUAAAUAAAUCAUGGUAUAUCCACCAUGUAGAACACUAUGGAGAAAUUAAACAAGAGAAAUAUUUAUUUAACGGUCUGGAAAUACCUGUGAUGCCCAUGAUUCAGUAAGUUAAAAAAGCAAGUUGCAGAAUAACGUUUGUAUGCAUGAUAUAGUCCAAUUCUUGUUUUAAAAAUUCCUGUAUGCAUACAGAACAUUUUUUGUACAGAAAAACGUCUACAAGGAUUCACAUUAAAUCAUUAACUGUGCUUAUCGUUAGGGAGCAAAACUGAGGACGAGAAGAACUUUCGUGUGUUUAUUUCUGAUUUACUUCUCUUGGGAAGCAGUGGAGUUCAGCAGUUAAAGCUCAGGCUGCUUAGAUUUGAAUCCAAGCUCUACAAUUUAUUAGCUGUGUGAUCUUGGGCAAGUUACUUAAUCUCUCUGGCGUCAGGUUCCUCAUUUGUAAAAUGGGGAUAGUAAUAGUACUACCUACCUUAAGGGAUGUUAUGGCGAUUAAAUGAGCUAAUACAUGUAAAAUGCUAAGAACUUAAGAGCUGAACCUAUCACAUAGUAAGUGCUACAAAUUUUAUCAAAAAACAUUGUCUUUACAGUGAACAUAUAUUCACGUAUCAAUGUAAAAUCCCAACCAACCAGCCCAAUCCUACAAUAAAUAAUAUGAAAACAGUACAUAUGGAGGGGGUAUGAUAAAAAUAAAAAGCUCCCUAGGCAAUUCUGAUAAUCAGCCAAGCUUGCAAACUACUGACUCAGGGGCCAAAAGCAGGAGUAAACCAGUUGAAGUAUGGUUGAGUCUCAGCUGGGGAAUGCAGGAGAAUUCUGGAAGCAGAAAGAGACCACAAGAGACAAGAAAAUAGCAGGUCGUGAAGCCCUGGUGAGAAGUCCCUGCUGAAUCGGACUCCACAAGGAGAGGGCAGGGUGUGGGCCUGGCAUCUUGUUCUGGCUUGUGUGUGAGAGCCCAUAAGUAGCUGUCUUUUCUCCCUGCCUGAAGCUACAAGAUGGGGCUCGUUGGGAGAAGCAACUUUAAGCAAGACACUCAGGCUGGUAACCGAGCCCUCCACCCCUGCCCUCGGACCAACCAACCAACCGUCCACCUCCUCUUAGCUCCAGGACCUCGGGAGGCACCUCCCACACACAGGAGAGUUAGAACCGCAAGGCAAAGGAGCUGGGACCAGAGCAACUGCCCCGGGCCACCCAGUUUGGGAUGAGAAACCAGGCCUAGAACCUCAUCUUCCCUCGCCUGUGCCCAGAUGCACACCAUCAAACCCAUCCCCACCGCUGGAUUUGACAAGAAUGUGAAGAGCUUUCGACAGGGGGGCGAGGGAGAGUGGGGAGUAUGCUCUGGUUCCCAAAUUUUGGAGGGGAAUCUUCUCAGACAAAUACACGCGCACUCUUGCACACAAUUAAUUCCUGGGGAGCAAAGACCUCCUACAGCUAAUGUGCGCCCCUGAGUUCGGAAUCCCUGGGCAAGAUCAACCUACUUCUGGUCUCCAACACAAGUUUAAAGUUUCUCGGUAAUAGAGAUGUAAUUCUGAACUAAUCUUACGUGCUCUUAAAUAAACAAAAGUGGGAUUACUGAGAUUGGCACGGGGAGAGGAAAGCCUGGGAUGGUGCCUCCUCAGCCCCAUCUCUCCACCUCCCCCUAGAGAUGGUGCGGAAUCCUGGGGGAAGACAGAUCUUUUCCUCCCCAGGGUUCUGUGGAACCUUGAGAGACUCUCACAAGGAGGAAGCAGCCACCAGAACUGCUGCCUCUUGGCUCUGAGUGGUCUCCUCAGAUUUCAGACAGGAACGGAGCCGGAGCUGUGAGUUCAAAGAUGGGCUAGAAGGGAAAAGGAUGGUGUUCAUCUGGCUUUCUUUCCCAGGAUAAGGCAUCUUGGUUCACUGGGCAAGUGGCAGGACCCCAACACCCUGAAGUUCAGUGGGACCAAAGCCGCUGCAGCCUGGUGGGGAUUCUGUCAGCUUGAGGAAUUAGCAGACCACUGACGCUCUAGGUAACCCGGAACCACAAGGGUGCCCAGAUUUGGCUGGGGGAGGGGGCUCAGAGCAUGCCAAGCUCCUCCACUCAGGGCAAGGUGGGGGAAGGUCUGUGAUGCUGGCAGAAGGUGGGGGUGGGGUGAGGAGAGGCAGAAGAUGAACAGCCAGAAGCAGAUUCUCUGGGAGCUGUCAGUGAGAAUGCUAUCAGGCCUGGUAUCUGAACCCUCCCUACUCCCCCCAUCCUAAAAGGGAGGCCAGGGGUCCUGGAUAGAAGUGCCCCCUCCCCCCGCUCCAGCGUCUGGUGAUUAACAGAGGCCUGUGGAGGGAACAGGAAUUUGAAGCUCUUGGGUCAGAAGUUUAACUAUUUCCAAGCUUCUUCCAGCUUGGUUGGGGCCAGAAGACUCACAACCUCUUCCUCUCUCCCCCUAACCCCUAAAUGGUUAGUGCCUCACACUUAGGAGUCCAACUGGGGUUCAAAUCCUAACUCCACAAUUUACUAGCUGGGUGACCUUGGACAGGUUACAAAGUUACAAGCCUAGGUUUCCUAUCCAGUUAAAUGGGGCCAACUCCACCGCCUCAUGGGGCUUUUAGGAGGAUUAAAGGGGCUUAUUACAUAAAGUACAUAGUGUAGUUUCUGGAACUCAGUAAGCUCUCAGUAAAUGGUAUUUAGGUUGCUUUUUUUUUUUUGUGCUUUGCUUUGUUAGAAAACUCUUCCUCACGAGCCCUGCUGCCAGUUGGCAAUGCCGGGAAACUAAAUGAAACGAAGGGGAAAAUUCAGCUGAGGCUGAACACGUCCUGGGGGUCUGGGAAAAGUCUGGAAGGAGAGUUGAGAAGGGAUGCUGGGGGGCAGGGGGCAGUAUCCUUAUUCUAGAAGAGACCUCAAAGAUGCUGGCUUCCAGGGGGGCACAACCGGGACUUCAGCCGCUUCUCCUGCCUUUCACAAACAUCUCGCUGCCCGUUAUGGGAUGAGACAAAUUCCAAGUGGGAGUGGACCCUGUCUACUUCUCCUUUUGCCUCCUCCCACCUUACACUCCAUGGUCCAGCCAGACUAAAUGUAUUGAAAUUCCUGGACCCCAUAUGCUGUUCCCUUGCCAGGAACACUCCCUACUACCUCUCAUGCCCCAACCCCCUUGCCUACUCUUCCCCAGCCUCUGGCUUGGACAUCACUUCCUCCAGGUCCACGCCCUCCUCAGUAACAUGUCAGCAGCCCUUCUAUGUGACUCUAUAUUCCCACCCCCCCAACUCCCACUUGAUCAUAUAUAUAAUAUACAUAUGUCAUGUAUAUAUAUUAUACGUAAUAUGUGUGUGUAUGUAUAUAACUUAUUUUGUCUGUCUCCCUCCACUAGCAGGCAAAUGGUCAAUGAAGCCGCAGUUUUGUGCCUAUUUUGCUCACUAAUGUAUUCCCAGCACCCAGAAUAGUACCUGGCACUUAGUAGGUGCUCAAUAAAUAUUUGCUGAAUGAAAUAUUUUACUAUUAAAACUGUCUGGUGACUGAUCUGCUUCGUCUUCUAAUCAGGGAGCUCACUGAGGUUAAGGAGCUGUGGGCCUUGCUCACCUCUGAGCAUCCAGCACCCAGUACGUACUCAGACAUUUGUUGGCCGAAUGACCACUCAGCUUGGCCUUGGGCCUCAGACACUUCACCGUCUCUAUCAUGAGGGAGGAGCUGGACACCACCACCCUGGCCAUAUGAGGAGGCUGCUGCCCACCCACACACUGAUUGGGAUAAAACUCUCCAGCCAGGAAGAAUCCCUCAUCUAAGAAAUUCAGGGCCCUUUCCAGAUUUCUACUUUGGGGGAAAGCAACAAGUAGUAGCUCAAGGACAAAUGGAACGAUUUCUCCCCCAAGACGAAGGAUAUGACCAAAUACAUAAUAAAGACUUGCAGUCUCUCAGCACAGGGCCAGGAGAGAAUCAAGAAUCCAGAAAGAAGCGGUCUGCUUCCAGAGAAUGUCAGGAGAAUAAAGCAAGCUCAGAGUUGUGAAAGUGCUUUGAAGAGGAAAAUGCACAUACAAACAAGGUGUGCUCCUGGCAUGAACCCACCAUUUUCACAACCAUACACCAGACAUCUGGGAAAGCGGAAUUUUCUCAAAAGGUUUAGAAUGCCUGACAUCACCAAGAAACACUUGCCAACCGGACCAUGAAAUCGAAAACCUGAUCACCGCUUCCCUUCAACAACUUCAAGCUUAGUGAAGUGACAGUUAAUCUGAUAUUUCUUGCUUCAAUAAGAAAGAUAAAGCACAGACAACACUCAAAGCUGUAGCCUGCUCUCCGAGACUGUAGUCAGAGAACUUGACAAUGACGGGGAGGGGGUGCAGAUUUGGCAGAGGUCUGGUUGGCAAUAAAGCUUCCUCAGGGAGCCGGAAUUGGAUUUGGGGCCCUGCCCAAGUUAACAUUUUUACAGGUUGGCUGAGUUUCAGUUCGUUAGCCAGUCCGUAAUAAACCCAUGCGCAAGAAUUUAAAGUUUAUGAGGCAUGGCCUCUUAAUGCCUCUCCUUGGCUCCUACAGCCAAGUUCUAAGGAGCCUGGCCUAGCCUGGGUGUUAAUUGUUUUGUCAAUCUGCAGUUAUUUGGGAAAAGAAAAAAAGACUUCCACAACUCAAGGCCUCCAAUCCUCUUUAGGAGAAACAAAGGAGAGCCAUUCUGUCCCCUAGGCAUCACACCCUCACAUUCAAGCUGUGGGAAUUUGUACCUGGGGGGAGGGGUAUGUUGAUGGGGGCACUAGAAAAAUGCUAGGUGGCAACGUUAAUUGUUUUGAAAGCCAGGUAAAUUGCAGAUCCCUUCCCCAGAAAAAUGCAUACACAAGUUCUUAGAUAAUUUCACAGGUUAAGGAUCCUCUGGAAUCCCACCCAAGCAUCCUGGGUUGCACCUCUGUUUAAGAACUUGGUUUUGAUCCAGUGGAGGAACCCCCAAUGUCCUGGAGGAAGGGAAAGAGGCCCUCAUAAGUGGCAGCUGCCUGGGUCUCAUAACACACUGGUUCUUCACACCAAAGUGACCCCCCUACUCUCAAAUUCUUGAACUUGGAGUGAGGGAGAAUAAGUAAUUGAGAGAUCAAAAAUGUGCUUUGAUCUCUCAUCCACCGCCCCCGCAGCUCGAAGAUCUUCGGGCUUGAGACUCCCUACUCCCUCAAGCGCCCUAACAUUCCAGUCCCAAGACUGGGGGGGGGGGGGGGCAGG